AAUCAUCAUGCCCCCUUUAUGACCUGGGCUACACACGUGCUACAAUGGACAGAACAAAGGGCAGCGAAACCGCGAGGUUAAGCCAAUCCCACAAAUCUGUUCUCAGUUCGGAUCGCAGUCUGCAACUCGACUGCGUGAAGCUGGAAUCGCUUGUAAUCGCGGAUCAGCAUGCCGCGGUGAAUACGUUCCCGGGCCUUGUACACACCGCCCGUCACACCACGAGAGUUUGUUACACNNGAAGUCGGUGAGGUAACCUUUUAGGACCAGCCGCCGAAGGUUGGACAGAUGA
rnacentral:rRNA from 1 species